rnacentral:rRNA from 1 species
UACGUAGGGCGCAAGCGUUGUCCGGAAUUAUUGGGCGUAAAGAGCUCGUAGGCGGUCUGUCGCGUCCGUUGUGAAAACUCGAGGCUCAACCUCGGGCUUGCAGUGGAUACGGGCAGACUAGAGUGCGGUAGGGGUGACUGGAAUUCCUGGUGUAGCGGUGGAAUGCGCAGAUAUCAGGAGGAACACCGAUGGCGAAGGCAGGUCACUGGGCCGCAACUGACGCUGAGGAGCGAAAGCAUGGGGAGCGAACAGG